CACAUAUGGGAAGCAAGACCAGCAUCAGGAAGGUUCUAGAACUCACUUUACCACCUCCAGAAUUCUCUCUUCUCCAAAUUCAUUCUCAAGACUUCACCACUGCACAGAGGAGGAAUAUGCUGAGGUUGUGUCUGGGUCCAGUCCCCACCCCACAGCCAGCUGAGGGACCACUAGGAACCACUGUGAGAAUCAGGAAGAAUGCUCCUUCCUCUGCACAGAUCCACUUCUGUGCAAGGCCACUCAAGAUUUGGAGGAGGAGCUGGGACUGGCCAUCAGCCCCCACUUCACCUCUGUCAACCCAACACUUGGGGACCAUGAUAUCACACUUCCAAAGUCCUUACCCCACGCGGGCCCCUAAUGUUUAAUGUGAGUUCCUUAUAGUCCCACAGAACCUCUCACUAAAUACUCACCCCAUUUGAAUACCUGA